CCUGGGGUUACCUUUACAAAAACAGUAACAUGCGUCUUUUCUACAACAACUUUAUACCACACUGUGAAAAGGCACCACAUGCAUUCAAAGCUAAUACACUUUGUGCUACACCUUACCACACCCAUGGACUUACUUUCAGACCGGGCAGUGGAAAACAUUGACGGUAUCCUCAUACACACACCAUCCCAGACAAUCCGGAGUUGCACAGUGAUAGCUGCCCUCGCACCGAGACUCUGCUACUGAAAGGCUUCUUUGCAGCCAGCGCUCAUAUUCCUCAGGAGACACCAGCUGGAAAGGCAUGAAGCAGGGCCCAAGGACAGGCGUAUGUAUCGUCUCUGUAUGGACAGGACACCUCGGGCUCCUCGCUCAGCAUGAUGACAGAGCAAACAGUGGAGACACUCCCUCAGCAGGACUCCUUCUCCCGACUGUAGCUCCACAAAGCAAAUCUUACAAUCCACCGGCUCAGGAUUGGGCACCAGGUCCUGACCAUCCAUCUUCACCAGCCGGGCAAAAUUCUCCCUUCGCUCCUGCUCCUUUGCCUAGAGGAGUUGUAGUGUUCAUUAGCUCUAUUUAGAAUCACAACACUAAAUCGUUGAAAAGAGGAUGGACGUAUUGCUGCAUUUCUAGUAACGACUCACUUGAAGGUUACCUUUUAAGUUCCUCAGUCUAUAAACUGGUUGGGGAAGCCAAUAGCAUGACGUCUGUUGGUGUUUUGAGCAACGAAGCCCACUGUGCUAUAGAACAACAUAAUUCUCCUACAGGGCUGUCAUUUCUUCUCUAUGUGGUACAUAAUAAAUACAACAAAAGUCCUUCACUAAUCGUGUGCAGGUCACUGAUGAACAGUAAACAUAAAGAAUCCUAAAUAUACUGACAGAUGUUGCAGACUGAAUACUUGUGUAAACCUCUAGGUCUUUAUUUUUUAUAUUUGUCAUGACAGUCUGUUGUCGGGGUAGGUUUCCUUCGCUAUUGAUGUAUCUAGUUUAUUGGGAAAAAGGUUAAAUAGCUGUUAAUAUUCGCAUAAAAUCUACAGAAAAACAAGAACAAUGUAUAAAAGCUUAAAAUACUUUCUAUCGGCAGCGCCAUAAGACUCAGAGCGGACCAGAAGAGCCCC